ensembl:lncRNA
CUGCCUGCCUGCCUGCACCUGCUUGUGGUCCGGAUGUAUCUCUCAGCUAUUUCUCCAGUACCAUGCCUGCCUGCUGCCAUGCUGUCUGCCAUGAUGGUAGUGGACUACGCCUCUGAAACCGUAAGCUAGCCUCCAAUUAAAUGCUUUCUUUUGUAAGAGCGGCCUUGGUCAUGGGAUCUCUUCACAGUAAUAGAACAGUGACUAAGGAGGCUUGGCCAUCCCAUUCUUUUCUGAAGCGAGAAACAUAAUGUUUACUUAACUGAAGAAGCUGUGCUGUAUUUUGGGCUUUUCUAAAGGUUAAGUUCAUCUCUAAUGCAGCUUCUAGACCCCACUAUGGUCUCAAGUGCGCAUUUUGAGAAAUUUGAGUCCUAUCAACCCUGCCAUUUUCCUUAAAUGCCUUUCAAGCUUCUGACUGAUAUAUGUGCCAAGAUUCUUAGGCAUUUGGUAGGGUUGUUUUUGUGGGUGUCCAUUUAUGUCUGUUUUCUCUCCAGAUAGACCCAGUUCUUAGCCAUAGAACAUUUCCAUGAUGCCUCCACUAGAUGGUAAAAACAUGAGAGAAAAAAAGAACUAACCAUUUAUUUCAUAGUUCUUCCCAGCUUUGCCCUCAGUCCCAUCUUGCCAAAGAAGGACGAUGCUUCCACUGGUAAUUAUAGCAGACAUGACUAAAGUACCAUCUGAAUGUUGCUAAUAUUUAUUUUACUAAAGAGAGCUAGCAAAUAAUAAGUGAAAAUCCCAGCAGUUAGUCUAUACAUUUGUUCCCUGACUCCCGAAUGGUGUUUCUAAGAUGGUGGUAGGCUUUGAAGCUUGUUGAAUUGGUUCAGAUAUCACCGUUACUUUCAUUAGCUUGUUAAUGACUAAUUACUUUAAGUCUUACUUUUCUUCUGAACAUGAGGAUGAUCUCUACCUCAUAGGAUCAUUGUGAGACUCCAGUUAGCUUAUAUACAGAGUAAGUGGAUCUAGUCCAUGCCGAGUUCCUUCCUCUCCUUCACUUCUCUGCUUCAUUAAAGACCAAUACAGGGUCCCGAAUUAUAUUCGGGCCCUGAGUUCAGUUCCCAGCACCAGACAGGAAGGAAGUUAAGUCAGCAUUUCAGAUGUACAGACCACUCUUCCUUUCCACUUAAACAAGUUCUAACUCACUGAUUCUUAACCUGAGAUACAGUGGAAUCACUUCAGAGCUCUUUAAAAUGCAGUUCCGGGGCCCUGACCUGCUGAAUCAACUCGUCCCAGUGCCGAACAAAGCACUGGGAACCUACAUUUUAGUAUGCGUUGUAGCUAACUCUGAUGUAGGUGAGUGGUGAGCAAACCAUUGCCUUACCUGUUCCUUAUAGAAGUGUCCACUAGAUGGGUCUUUCUCACCUGCAGACAUUCACAUGGGAUUUAGAUUCUCUGUUCUCUGUCUUCCUGAUAAUCCCCAUUCCUGAUAGUUCCAGUGUGCCCCACUUACAGUGUAUUAUAUUUUCUUGGGUGUGUUUACCCCACUAGACUGUGAGCUCCUUGCGAGUCAGGAUGUAUCUUUAUUCUCAGUGCCAGAGACAUGACCUGAACCACAGAAGAAACUCAACUGUUGAACAAAUAAAUGAUACAGAUUUUAAC